GGAGGUUACACUCAAUGGUAGAGCGUGUGCUUAGCAUGCACAAGGUCCUGGGUUCAAUCCCCAGUACCUGCA
rnacentral:tRNA from 1 species